CAAUGCGAAACACGCAACUAUUCUCUCUCUCUACAAAUCUCUAAAACCACUGGACAAUGCUAAAAAGAAAAAAAGUGAGUAAAGUUACUCGCGCCAAAUCCCAAAUCUAGAUCUUCAGUAAUUACGACAAUGUGGAGAAAAUUCAUGUUGGGGUGACAUCAUUAAUUCUGUGUUUCGUUUAAAGGUUGAGUCAAAUUCCGUGAUGCUGUUUUGAAAUCUCCUGGAAAUCGAGAUAGUUCGAAAUGGCGUUGGGGCGGCGAGACAAGAAUUUGCAGUCAUCAAUGCGUGGAUCACGGAUUAUGGCAGCGAUUGGAAUUGGAAUAGCCGUCGGAUGCGUGUUCGCGUUUUUGUUUCCCCGUGGAUUCUUCUCCACAAAUCAGCCCAUUCAAGUCCGCCGUGUUUCCGAUUCUAAUUCGGAGGUUGAUGCGGCAUCUUGUGAAUCGUCUGAAAAAAUAGAUCUUCUCAAGUCAGAUAUUAGGAGGUUAUCCGAUAAGAAUGCCGAGUUGAAGAGGCAAGUGAGGGAGCUGAAUGAAAAGAUGCGGUUGGCUGAGCAGGGGAACCAACAUGCGCACGAACAAGUUGUGGGACUUAGUAAACCACAUAAGGCUGGACCCUUUGGUACUGUUAAGAGUCUAAGGACAAAUCCAACUGUUGUUCCUGAUGAAACUGUCAACCCUAGACUUGCAAAGAUCUUGGCUGAGAUUGCUGUUAGGAAAGAGAUUAUAGUUGCUCUUGCCAAUUCAAAUGUCAAAGCAAUGCUUGAACUUUGGUUUACAAACAUUAAGAAAGCCGGGAUUCCUAAUUACCUAGUGGUAGCUUUAGAUGAUGAGAUUCUAGAGUUCUGCAAGGCAAAUGACGUCCCUGUGUAUCAGAGGGACCGAGAUGAAUCUGUGGAUGCUAUUGGAAAGGGUGGCGGUAAUCAUGCUGUAUCAGGUCUGAAAUUUCGAAUACUGAGGGAAUUUCUGCAGCUGGGCUAUAGUGUUCUUCUUUCAGAUGUAGAUAUAAUAUUCAUGCAGAAUCCGUUCGAUCAUUUGCAUAGAGAUUCUGAUGUGGAGUCUAUGUCAGAUGGUCACAAUAAUAUGACUGCUUAUGGGUUCGAUGAUGUUUUUGAUGAGCCUGCUAUGGGUUGGGCUCGAUAUGCUCACACAAUGAGGAUAUGGGUCUAUAAUUCCGGUUUCUUUUAUAUAAGGCCCACUGUUCCUUCUAUUGAGCUGCUAGAUCGCGUGGCUGGCAGGCUUGCUCGGGAAAAUGCUUGGGAUCAAGCUGUUUUCAACGAAGAGCUCUUCUUCCCAACUCAUCCUGGUUAUACUGGGCUUCAUGCUUCCAAGAGAACUAUGGAUUUCUAUCUUUUUAUGAACAGCAAGGUCCUUUUCAAAACCGUGAGGAAAGAUGCUACUCUGAAAAAAAUCAAGCCUGUUAUCGUUCACGUUAAUUACCAUCCUGAUAAAUAUCCAAGAAUGCAAGCUGUUAUAGAUUUCUACUUGAAUGGCAAACAAGAUGCUCUGGACCCAUUUCCUGAUGGAUCUCAGUGAAGAGUUGAAGUCAUGAAGUUUGUUUUGCCAAAUGUCAUUUGGAACAUCUCAUUUUCCUUCCAAACUCUGUUUUCUUAUGGCUUCACGAGUUCGCGAAGAGUUCUUUGGAGUCGAAGGAGAAGCAGCAAUGUUGUCCUGGGUUUGAAAGAAGAUGUAAAUAUGGGAGCUAUCUUCAACCCCACAAUCUUUGAGGGAAGCUUCGUCUUUAUCCAACAAGUAAUGCUCCUCAGCAUCGAGCAGCAGAAUGAGGCUAUCCCCAGGUAGGUUUUCUUGUUUCCCAAUUGCUUUCUUGAGGUCGCCUACAGUGGCAUUCUCUCCCACCUCAACGUAGAAGAGAUUCCCGGUUAGUAUCUCUGCAACCAGCUUCAUUUUCAAUGGACCAGAUUUUCACUUUUCCUGUGCCUGUCCCAUUUUCUUGGACUCCAUUACUAUAAUUAAAGUGGUUGUUGGUGCAAAUGGGGUUGUCUCUGCAUUUGCAUAUUGUGGGGUGUUGUUUGUUCACAGAGACUGCAUUGUCGAGAAGUAGUUUGAUAGCAUGCUUGGAUCAUUAGUAGUUUGAUAGCAUUCUAUAAAUAUCAUGCUCCUAUUUAUUACUAUUGCACCUAUUUUUGUAGGUAAUGUGAUGCAACUCUUGCGGUGUUUUCAAUAAAAUA